rnacentral:miRNA from 1 species
GCGGAGCCGCGCGCGCGCGCGCACCAACGGAGCGCGCUCGCGGGGGCUCUGAGA